CAAACAGUUAGUCACCUCCUGUCCUUAACCCCUGUAAGUCUAAAGGGGGGUUCUAAACUGACAUAUGGAAUUGUUUUAAGAUUGUGACAGUAGUGCUUGUACGAACUCGAACCCAGGCGCAGAGAAACACAGCAAGCAGAGGUAAAUCCAGAACUUUUAGAGUCUUGAAAGAAACAAGGCAACAGCACAAGAGCACACUAACAAAACACGAGACCAAAGCAACGAUACAGGCCAACUGAGGAACCUAAAUAACCAGGCAACCUGGUGAACAGAGAAGUGUGUUCUGGGUUUUCAGACGGCUCUGGCUCCGUGGACCCCCGGCCAGGCCGACGCUCCUGCGUUUGAUGAGUGGUUCAGGGGCACAGACGUCUGGAGCGAGGCUCACGUCAGACUCCAAUGUGCCAUCCACCGUUAGAAGGAGCAAGCAGACCGCAGUGAGACUCCAGUGUUCCAUCCUGGGGAUCGCGUCUGGCUCUCCUCCGACCGGUGGUUCCUUGUCCCCUGUCUGAUGCUGUCCCCCACGACACUUACCACCUGCUUCUCAACUCCCAGCGUCUACGUUACAGAAUGAGUAGGUGUGUUCAAACUUUUGACUGUACAUAUACAUACACUCCGUAUAUAUCACAAAUUUUUUGUGUUUUUUAAAACAAAUUUAACCCCUUUUUUGGGUAGGCACAAAACUAUCUGUGUACUUCCAUUUUUUUUAACCGGUACCGGUUAACUUCAGACAAGUUCGUGAC
rnacentral:lncRNA from 1 species